UCGGGCUAAUUUUAUGGCAGCACGUACUUUCCACUUAAGAGGUGAUUGUAAAUUCUAAAGAGUACAAAGUAUGUGAACUAUCUACUACAUACAAUAUCGUCCUCAUUAAUGCUUGCUAAUUUCAGAUAUUUAUAUGGUUAACAACGAUAUCAUGCUUACUUCAUGUAUGAAGUUAACGCUUGGACCAUCAUUGCUGCAGUAAAAUAUCAAUUGCUUAAUGUCACCUUUUCCCAAGAAGCUCGUUGGCAAGGAAAAUUAUGCCUUAAAACCUUGAUGACGAUACUGAAGUGCACGUUACGUGAGAUGAAGUGCUCAACACAUUUUGAGCCUCGGAGCACCUUAGACAAUACUAUCAUGCCUAUUGCUGUAAAUUUCCGGCAACUUUAUUCCUUUCUUUGUAGGAAGACAAGCGUUGUGAUACAUUAAGCUUUAUUAUGACAAUGGUGAAAUUGUAUAGGGUUAUGGUGGAUACAACAUGAUGUGGCCCAUAGUAUAAAGGUUGACAACAAUAGACACAUAUAUACCCUUUGUGUUGUUUUCAUCUCA